rnacentral:tRNA from 1 species
GUGGGGUUAGUUCAAUUGGCGAGAACCUCUGUUUUGCAUACAGAAAAUAACGGUUCAAUUCCGUUACCCUACA